rnacentral:rRNA from 1 species
AACGAACGCUGGCGGCAUGCCUAACACAUGCAAGUCGAACGAGACCUUCGGGUCUAGUGGCGCACGGGUGCGUAACGCGUGGGAACCUGCCCUUAGGUUCGGAAUAACUCCCCGAGAGGGGUGCUAAUACCGGAUAAUGUCUUCGGACCAAAGAUUUAUCGCCUUUGGAUGGGCCCGCGUUGGAUUAGCUAGUUGGUAGGGUAAAAGCCUACCAAGGCGACGAUCCAUAGCUGGUCUGAGAGGAUGAUCAGCCACACUGGGACUGAGACACGGCCCAGACUCCUACGGGAGGCAGCAGUGGGGAAUAUUGGACAAUGGGCGAAAGCCUGAUCCAGCAAUGCCGCGUGAGUGACGAAGGCCUUAGGGUUGUAAAGCUCUUUUACCCGGGAUGAUAAUGACAGUACCGGGAGAAUAAGCUCCGGCUAACUCCGUG